rnacentral:ncRNA from 3 species
GUCUAUCUUCGGGGCAGGGUGAAAUUCCCGACCGGCGGUAAAAAACAAAUUGUUUUGAGCCCGCGAGCUUAUAUGUAAUACAUACGAGCAGAUUUGGUGAAACUCCAAAGCCGACAGUACAGUCUGGAUGGGAGAAGGUGGAG